UACGGGGGGAGCAAGCGUUGUUCGGAUUUACUGGGCGUAAAGGGCGCGUAGGCGGCCACUGCAAGUCGGUUGUGAAAUCUCCGGGCUUAACUCGGAAAGGUCAACUGAUACUGUGCGACUAGAGUGCGGAAGGGGCAACUGGAAUUCUCGGUGUAGCGGUGAAAUGCGUAGAUAUCGAGAGGAACACCUGCGGCGAAGGCGGGUUGCUGGGCCGACACUGACGCUGAUGCGCGAAAGCCAGGGGAGCGAACGGG
rnacentral:rRNA from 1 species